GGGGGGGCGGGGAUCUGCUUCCUCCAAAAAAACUACAAUGUAUGCCUUGCUCACGUCAAAUUAUUUAAAGACAAGCCAAGCAUACAUCAAGGCUGAGACAGUAUCUACACUGAGUAUGGAGUAGUGAUACCCAUUGGAACAUGUAAGUUUGAGACAUUUGCAUGACUCUUUUAAAUUUAUGUUGGCACCUUCAGGAGGAAUGA
rnacentral:lncRNA from 1 species